ACCCUCCUACUGCCGCGCUCUGAUUGGCUGGGAAACUUAGGCUAGCGGGGAUGACAGAUUGCAUCAUAGGGCAACAAUUUGUGCUAGUGAGAGGGAGUGAGAGUAGAGACAGAAACAGAAAAAUGUCCAAUAUAAGCAAGCUAACUUGCUGCCUCGAGAUAAAAUGUGUCGUUAUAAAAUAGGUCUGUUGAAAGAUGAAUAAUUCGUGUUACUAAUGUAAGAUGAUUUAUUUUUUCCUUUUGAAUUAAUGUGAUUAUAUACAAGAUCAGUUACUACAGUUGAUCCAUAGUUAAGGAAUUGUGCUGUGCCUUUAAAAGGAGCCGUUUCUUUCUUCUUCGUUGGUUUUUUUUUUUUUUUUGGUGUGUGAGACGGGUUCUGUUCUGUUAAAAUGGAGGUUCAAUAAAAGUCUGGACAACUACGCUACUCCUUCUCAGUGUUCUGCUCUUUCUCCACCCACGACCUCUUAUUCUACGAUAACACCGAUUCAGUUCACAUCGUAGUGUUACACUGGUGGCAGCGGGUUUGUGGACAUUUGCAGCUAUUACAGCGAUUAGGAUGGCAGAGGAAAUGAGAAACACCCAAAGCAUCAAACAGAAAGUGGGGGUUGAUCCAUUUGCUACCCUCAGCCGAAGGCUUCAGCCCAAGAUGUAUUUCUCUCACGCACAGAUUGGAGGUGCAGGGAGACUGAUGGGAGGAACGCGGGAGAUAAAUCAUCAAACCCUGCUUGGGACUCUAAUAACAGAUUGCUAGAAGGACUGACAAAUAGAGCACAGCUUGGAAGGCUGAACUGAAGUGCCGACAGAAAAUAACAGAAAACCAACAUAUAAGGGGGAGUUGCUCCCUUUUUAUGUUUGCUUAGUUUUAAAACCUUGUAUAAAAAAUUGUCAGCAAAGCAGCAUUAAUGAGCAGCACAGUACGUCUUUGUGCAUGGACAGCUAAGACAUGUGCAGCAUCCUGCCUCCUCAGAGUGUGUGUGAGACGCUCGUGUUUAUAAGCAUGGGGGCGGGGGAGCGGACCAUCUUUCUCGGGAUUUUGCUGCGGGAGCACAAUGUUGCCAUGGAGACUGCAUCCAUUGCAGCAGAAAAACGCAGAUGGACGGCCUUCCUUUUUUCCCUGAUGUGGUCCAGGUUGCCUCUCAUCCCUGACCUGCAAUUCAUAAAAACUUGUCCUUUUGACUUUGUGGAUAGGCGGAGGAAAAAAUGCUCCGGGUGUGGACCAGCCUAUGACUCAGACCGCUGACAAACUGCUUAUGGCAGAGGUGAAAAGGCCUUUUUGUUGAAUUAUUAGAGAAUGUUUAAUCACAGAGCAUUAUCUUGCACAACUGGAGAUUUAAAUAUUGUUCUAAAUAUGUCAGGAUACAUAAAUUAAAGGUAAAUCAGUUGCCAUACUUUCUGAAUGUACGUAAUUACAGCUCAUUGGAGAGUAAAUGGUCUGCAUCUGAAUGCCUGCUAAUACAGACAUCAUGUUGACACAAGGGCACACGAUCAAUACCUUGUUUCUAAAUUCAAGACAUUAAUUGCAGUUGACUUUAAAAGUGAAUAAAGACAACAGGCAAGAACAUA